AGAGGAACGAGAAAUAGCUUAUAUGAUUUCAAGGGCGGUAAAAGUUUCGAAGAUCGUUGAUUCAAGCCAUGAUAACUCUAAUUGUGUUCAAUCCGAUUGUUUCCUUCCUCUCUCGAUCCAUUUUCCCUGGGGCUUAGCGGCCUCUGCCUCUUUGAUCCCUGUGUUGCUUGCCUUGGAGAGUUGUUGAUGUGCAUUAAAACUGUAAUCACGGCAAUGUUAACGGUCCACCGUAUGUAAUGCUUCAGAAUCUCCAAUUUCUCAGCACCAUAGACGACAUUUCCUCAAGUAUCAAACACAUUCCAGCAAUCAGAUAUCGAUUUUGAGUGGAGAAAAUGUGGGGAAGCCUUGUUCUUUGUCGUUUAAUCCAUAGUUAUGGAUGAAGAGCUCCAGAUUUCAUGAAAUUGCAGGUACUGCUUUGGGAAUUUCACAUAAUUGACAUAGUCACCAGCUCGGGAAUCUGGGGGUUUGGUCAAGCACGUUCAAGUGGAUCUUAGGCUUGGAGGCGACGUGACGAUUCGACUUGAACUUGGCCCAGAUCUCAGCAGCUGACGAUUCGAUUUGGUCAAGCACGUUGAUUUUUGGACGCUUAAACAAUUGUUACUGUCGCCCCCAACGCCCUCUGUUCUUCCAACUGUUAAGGGAGGGCACUGUAUAUUGUUUUAGCCGGACAGCUAGUAGACGACCAAAGAACAUUUGGUAUCCCCUCAUGAAGUUACCUGUAGUUUAUUCCCCUCAUACUGAAUUUCUAUAACAGUAUAGUAAUUCAAUGACACUCCCUAAACCUUGAGCAUGGGAAUCUUUUUUUAUACUUUACAAUUGUAGGAUUCUGCAAUUGGAAUGUUCUCCAACCGAUUCAACUCCUUUGGAAGCUGAA